AGUAUUCCUACGAUGCCCUGGAGAAGAAGCAGUUUCUCCCCGUGGCCUUUCCUGUGGGAAACGCCUUCUCAUACUAUCAGAGCAACAGAGGCUUCCAGGAAGACUCAGAGAUCCGAGCAGCUGAGAAGAAAUUUGGGAGCAACAAGGCCGAGAUGGUGGUGCCUGACUUCUCGGAGCUUUUCAAGGAGAGAGCCACAGCCCCCUUCUUUGUAUUUCAGGUGUUCUGUGUGGGGCUCUGGUGCCUGGAUGAGUACUGGUACUACAGUGUCUUCACGCUAUCCAUGCUGGUGGCGUUCGAGGCCUCGCUGGUGCAGCAGCAGAUGCGGAACAUGUCGGAGAUCCGGAAGAUGGGCAACAAGCCCCACAUGAUCCAGGUGUGGCUACCAGGGAGACCCAGGUUGGGGGUGCAGCACAGGUGCGGCUUCUGUGCUGACACCCAUGCCCCGCCCAGGUCUACCGAAGCCGCAAGUGGAGGCCCAUUG
rnacentral:sRNA from 1 species